rnacentral:rRNA from 1 species
GAUGAACGCUGGCGGCGUGCCUAAUACAUGCAAGUCGAGCGAACAGACGAGGAGCUUGCUCCUCUGACGUUAGCGGCGGACGGGUGAGUAACACGUGGAUAACCUACCUAUAAGACUGGGAUAACUUCGGGAAACCGGAGCUAAUACCGGAUAAUAUAUUGAACCGCAUGGUUCAAUAGUGAAAGACGGUUUUGCUGUCACUUAUAGAUGGAUCCGCGCCGCAUUAGCUAGUUGGUAAGGUAACGGCUUACCAAGGCAACGAUGCGUAGCCGACCUGAGAGGGGGAUAGGCCACACUGGAACUGAGACACGGUCAAGACUCCUAAGGGAGGCAGCAGUAGGGAAUCUUACGCAAUGGGCGAAAGCUUGACGGAGCAACGCCGCGUGAGUGAUGAAGGUCUUCGGAUCGUAAAAAUCUGUUAUUAGGGAAGAACAAAUGUGUAAGUAACUAUGCACGUCUUGACGGUACCUAAUCAGAAAGCCACGGCUAACUACGUG